GACGAACGCUGGCGGCGUGCCUAAUACAUGCAAGUGGGACGCAAGGGAACACACUGUGCUUGCACACCGUGUUUUCUUGAGUCGCGAACGGGUGGGUAACGCGUAGGUAACCUGCCUAUUAGCGGGGGAUAACUAUUGGAAACGAUAGCUAAUACCGCAUAAUAUUAAUUAUUGCAUGAUAAUUGAUUGAAAGAUGCAAGCGCAUCACUAGUAGAUGGACCUGCGUUGUAUUAGCUAGUUGGUAAGGUAAGAGCUUACCAAGGCGACGAUACAUAGCCGACCUGAGAGGGUGAUCGGCCACACUGGGACUGAGACACGGCCCAGACUCCUACGGGAGGCAGCAGUAGGGAAUCUUCGGCAAUGGACGAAAGUCUGACCGAGCAACGCCGCGUGAGUGAAGAAGGUUUUCGGAUCGUAAAGCUCUGUUGUAAGUCAAGAACGUGUGUGAGAGUGGAAAGUCACACAGGAC
rnacentral:rRNA from 1 species